rnacentral:ncRNA from 2 species
CGUAGGUGAACCUGCGGAAGGAUCAUUAUU